rnacentral:sRNA from 1 species
UCCUAGCCCUGAUGGGAAUGGCAUCCUUUUAUGGCGGGGUUCGCCAUAAAAGAUAUAAUGGACAGCAGGAAUAGCU